rnacentral:tRNA from 1 species
UAGCUCAGUUGAUAGAGCAUGAGACUUUUAAUCUCAGAGUCAUGGAUUCGUGUCCCAU